rnacentral:rRNA from 1 species
GACGAACGCUGGCGGCGUGCUUAACACAUGCAAGUCGAGCGGUAAGGCCCUUUCGGGGGUACGACGAGCGGCGAACGGGUAGGAGUAACACGUGGGUGGACCUCGCCCUUACGUCUCUGGGAGUAAAGACCUCGGGAAACGUAGGGUCGUAAUAACCGGAGUAUGACUCCAUGACGCAUGUUGUGGGGUGGAAAGCCUUGUGCGG